GCCCGAUGGAUACGCCGUUCUUCUAUCCGGCCGAAGGCGCGGACGCGGUGGCGUAUCACAAGACGGCCGCGGCGCUGUCGCCGUUCUCGAAGACGGGGCUGACCGACAUCGGGGACGUCGUGCCGUUCAUCCGCCAUCUCGUCAGCGACGGCUGGUGGAUCACCGGCCAGACGAUUCUGAUCAACGGCGGUUAUACGACGAAGUAAGCGCGGCCGGCGGCGGGCGCGGUGACAGGGGCGGUGGGGUGCGCCGUGCGCGGCGGGAGCUGCGGUGAAAGCCGCGACGAAGCGCGUGGCGAGGCGCGCGUCGGGCGGGCCGUGGCCCUGCGCCGCCGCGCACGCGGCCGGGCCGAUCGAUUGCGAUCGUGAGGGCGAUGGCGAAGGCGCUCGCGCCUCAGCGGGUCGCGAGCGCCGGGGGCCGUGCUCAGUUCGUUGCGGCGUCGUCGCGGGGGGCGGAUUGCAUCGCGCCGGCGGUCGCGGUGGCGUUCGUCGCUGCGGCCGCGGCGGUUGCCGGCGAUGCCGCCGGCGCGAGCGGCGCCGUCCGCGCGGUGUCCGCCGGGGGCGACGGCGCGUCGGGCGACAGCAAGGGCGGCAGCAAGGGCGGCAGCCACGGCGACGACGGCGACGACGGCGCGGCGGCCGAGGCCGGCGUCGAUGUCGAACCGGCUGUCGUCGCCGUCACCGCCGGGGCGAACUUCUCGGCGCGCGCAGGCGGGAUCGCCGAGGCGAAUGGCGCGGCCGUCGGCGCGAUCGAUGACGCCGGGCUCGUUGUCGGAGCCGGGGCUGGAGCCGAGGCCGGGGCUGGAGUUGAAGCCGGGGCCGACGCUGGAGCCGGGGCAGGAAUCGAAGCGGGAGUCGGAGCUGAAGCGGGAGUCGGAGUCGGAGCGGACGCGGGGGCGGGUGUGGAAGCCGGCGCGGGAGCCGACGCGGGCGUAGGCGCCGGCGCGGAUGCCGCGGUGGGUGCCGAUGCGGCGGCCGUCGCCGAAGCCGGCGCAGGCGCGGCGUGCCUAACGGGGGCGGCGGGGGCCGAAGCGGCCGGCCCGGAACCCGCGGCCGCCGGUGCAGCCACGGCCGACGACGCCGACGUCCCGGGCGCGGCCGAGGACGCCGGCACGGGCGCGGCCGGCGGUGUCGGCGCGGCCGGCGUCUUCAGCUUCAUCGGCGCGCCUUCGGCCGUCUCCGCCGGUUCGGGCAGCGGCGCGACGCGCUCCUUCUCGGCCGCCUUGACGGCCGCCUUGUCGCGCCGCGUCGGAUCGAUCUUCAGGAAAUGGUCGACGAGAUUGAAGAAGCGCUCGUAGAACACGCCGGCCGGAAUGGUUUCGCUCGCGAUCUUGACCAUCGCGUCGUCGCUCGAGCCGAUCGGCAGCGACAGCGAGCCGAACACGCUCAGCCCGACGCUCGCCGACGUGUUGCUCUUCUUCAGCGAAUAGCGGUCCUGCACCGCGUUCACGUACGCGAUGCUCGAUGCGCCGUCGACGUCCGACUCCGCGCAGACGACGUGAAAUUCGAUGACGACGUGCGAAUCGUUGCUCGGCUGGAAGUUCUUGCUGCCGUCGACCGCGUCCGGGCGCGUCGCGCUCGCCAUGUAGCCCUGGCUCAGCAGCGCGCGGCUUCGCACGUCGCGGCCGAUUUUUCGUGGAACGUGCGCGCGUAGGGGCUCGUGGUCGCGUCGAACUGUUCCUGCUGAUAAAGAGGCUUGGGCGCCGACGAACAGGCGGACAGCACGGCCGCCACCGCAACGGCGGACGGGGCGGGAAACGGUCGGAAUCGGUUAGGCAUGGCGUCAUUCAAAGAGGCCGGCCACGUGCGGCGCGAUCCGGCGGAGGCAGUUGCGCGGGCUCGACGCGGCCGGCGCGCACGGCCGGGCGGCGCGGCUUGCGCGGACGAACCGGCGCGGCGGCCCGCGUGGCCUUCGCGCAUGUGGCAUGGGCCGACGAGGUGGCAUGGCGAGCCGGCUAUUAUAGUUUUUCUGGGUGCGCGGCAGCAUGAAGCCCCCGCGCCGCGCCGCGCGCGCCGUUCUUUCGGCUGCGUUGCGAAGCGGGCGGCCGCGCCGCGAGAAGCGACGAACGCGCCGCCGAGCCGGCGGUUCGCGGCCCGCAUCGGCCGCGCGGACGCGCCGCGCGCGCCCGCCUGCGGCGCUUUGCGUACUCGCGUACGCAAGCCGGGUGCCCGCGUCGUCAUCGGCUUGCGCGACGGGGCGGCGCAAGCCGGCGGCCGCGUCGCGCGCCAGCGGCUAAAGCGGGUCCGCCGGCGCGCUCACGCCGCGCUGAUAGAACCCGCCGAACCGUUCGAGCUGGCGCCGCGCGGCGUCGAGAUCGGCGUCGUCGGCGAGCACCGCGCUCGAAAAGCCCAUGCGCUCCAGCUGCAGCAACUGAUCGAUCAGCACGUCGCCCGUCGCGCGCAGCUCGCCCGCGAAACGGAAGCGCUUGCGCAGCAGGUACGCCUGGCUGUAUGCGCGGCCGUCGGUGAACACCGGAAAAUGCAGGUCGAUGCGCGUCGCGCGCGCGAUGCGCGCGGCAAGCGGCGUCAGCUCCUCGUCGUUCGCGAUGGCGAGCGGCGCGCCGUCGCGGGCGGGCGCGGCGCGCGUCUCGUCGCCGUGGGCGCUCGCGCUCAGCAGGCGGAUGCGGUUCGGCGGGCUCAUGCGACACUCGUCUCGGGAUGGCGCGCCGCGUUCGCGGCGGCCUUGAAGGGCUCGGGGCCGACGCGGCGGUACGCGUCGAUGAAGCGUUCGACGCGCCCGGCCUCGGUUCGCCGCACGCGCAGAUAGGUGGCGACGAGCGCGUCGACGACGUCGACGAUCUCGUCGGCCGAGAACGACGGCCCGAUCACCUUGCCCGGCUGCGCGGGGCCGUUCGCGGCCGUGCCGUCGGAGCCGCCGAGCGUCACCUGGUACCACUCGUCGCCGUCCUUGUCGACGCCGAGGAUGCCGAUGUGGCCGCUGUGAUGAUGGCCGCACGAGUUGAUGCAGCCGCUCACGUGCAGGUCGACGUCGCCGAUGUCGUGCAACUCGUCGAGAUCGUCGAAGCGUUCGGCGAUCGCAUCGGCGAUCGGGAUCGAGCGCG
rnacentral:rRNA from 1 species